rnacentral:rRNA from 1 species
GAUAUUGCGCAAUGGAUGAAACUCUGACGCAGCGAGGCAGCGUGAGCGAUGAAGGUCGUCGGAUCGUAAAGCUCUCUCCUUGGGGAAGGAGGUCAUCGGACUUGACGGGACCCAUGGCGGAAGCUCCGGCUAACGACGCGCCAGCAGCCGCGGUAAUACGUAGGGGGCUAGCGUUGUUCGGAAUUAUUGGGCGUAAAGGGGGCGUAGGCGGCCUUUUAAGUAAGAUGUGAAAGCCCACGGCUCAACCGUGGGAUUGCAUUUGAAACUGGAGGGCUUGAGUAUCGGAGAGGGUAGUGGAAUUCCCAGUGUAGCGGUGAAAUGCGUAGAUAUUGGGAGGAACACCAGUGGCGAAGGCGACUACCUGGACGAUUACUGACGCUGAUGCACGAAAGCUAGGGGAGCAAACA